AAAUCCGCAUGCGUAUCACGCGAAAAAAAGAGUCUCUGUCCACAGAUUCCUCCAUAGGUCGGCAAGCGCGGGGCGCGGCACCGACUCCGACUCCAUCGGGGAACCGUCCUCCACCAAACCGACCUGACCUGUGCCGCCUAUAAAUCCAACCCACCCCGGCGGCCUUCUUCCUUUCGUUGAUAGAUAGAUGAACCGCGUGGUCGGGAUCCCUCUUCCUUCCUUCCUUCCCUGUUCUCUCGUCGGUGCGCCAUGGGGGUGGAUGGGUAAGUGGUAGGUAAGGCGCAGUUGUUGUUGGUUUCGAUCUGACGCGUCUCUCUGUUUCUCGAAUUCAUAAGGUGUGACGGACUGAACUAGCCGGAUGGAUGGAUCCAUUUCUUUUAGGUUAUUAUGCUGUUGUUUACGAUGACUAGGGCUGUGCAGUUAUUUUGAUUCGAUUGCCGUUCAUUCUGGUGGGAGGAUAAGGCGUCUCGGUUGGUGAUCUGUUGAUAGCACUUUGUGUUGAGUCAGAUCUAUUUGAUUGGUUAGCCUGGAUGUUUUUGGCAUGAUCGGAUCAAGAUGAAUUGAAGGGUGUGUGGUUUUUGGUUCGUCCAUGCUGUGAUCUGUUCAGUUGCUGUGAUCUGUUUCAGUUGAAGGUUGUUGAUUGGCUGCUUGUAUCUCUUCUUCCUUAGGAUGCUGAUUUUGUGGCAAAAACCAGUGCCUGUUGGUUGUUAUAGGAAACUAUACUGGACUGCUCAGAAUUCUGCACUGUUUGGUCCUGAUCGUGUAUCCCUCGUGAUGUUGUCAGUCUAGUCACAAGAUUUCUUAGGUCAACUCAGAACUUUUUAUGGAGAUACGAUUUAGCAUGUCAUAUUUGGAGCAAGUUAUAUAAUCAGAUGAGUACUAUCAGAUUAUUUGAAAGCCUUGCAACUAAAAAUCACAUCCUGAAGUUCUUGUGGUUUUAGUAGAUAUAAGUUGCUUCAAUGGGAGCCAGAACAGUUCAUUUAGAGCUGAUAUGAAUGAUCACGGAGAUGAUUAUACAAUUGUACUCUUCAGUACCACUUUUUGAUAAAUUCAAUUUGGUGGUUUCUUUUAAGGAGACAGGGAGAGUUUGAUUUCAUAUAAGGCUUACAUCCUCAAGUUCAUGUGCUUUUAAAUAAGUUGGCUUUCUUUGGGAGUGAAAACAGUUCAUUUAGAGCUAAUAUAGACAUAGUCAUGGAGAUGGUUCUACAAUUCUCUUCAAUAUCAAAAUGAUCAAUUCAAAUUUGGCGGUUCCUUUUAAGAUUACAUGGAUGGAUUCAGAGUUUGAUUUGCUUCUCUAAGGUUUAAUUUAAUGCUAGGUUGUGAACAGGAUUAUAGAAGUGUGCCUGUUCGAAGCUUCAUUUGAGUAAGAUAUAUGGAGGAAUACUUAAGUUGUGGCUGCUUUGCUAAUUUACUGUUGGUAUUAGUUUCUCUGGUGGUAUCAUGAGGCCUUCUGUAUAAUUCCUACUUCCAUGGGUCUUCUAUUUCUCAGGCACAAUUAGUAGUGGACAUGACUUUUAGGCUUCUGUUACUGGAUUAUGUGCUCAUUCAGAGUGUUGUAGAGAUCUUCAAUUUUGUUGGUUCAGUAGAACUGUAAUAUAUGUACAUGUAUGAUGGUGAAAUAUAUUUUUGCCUAGAGCUGUAAUUAUUAUAUGAUAUGGAUAUAUGGAUAUUGGUAUAGAACUUGGCACAA